AGUCCUCCUCCUCUGGCCCCGCCCACCGAGGCGGACGCGCCCGGGCUGCAGAGUGCUGAGCCCGGCCUUGGGGUCCGCUUCUCCCCAACAGCUGCUCCCUGCCCUCUCUGAGGUCUCGCCGACUGCAGCCCUUUUGUGUCAGAACGAAUUUUCUGCACAGUCAUUCCGCUCGCUGACCAGCAACAUGUUAUCCCUGCGGCCUGCCUGCUAAGCCAGAGUGCAGACAGGUGGUGCUGGACCUGCAAGAUGCUGGACUAAAGUGGAAGAGCCGCCUGUCUGCCUUGCUUGACGAUGAUCCUGUAACCCGGAAACUUGACUCCUUAUUGCUCUGUGUGCCAGUGAAUAACCACAUUCCCA
rnacentral:lncRNA from 1 species